rnacentral:lncRNA from 14 species
CCACGGAUCAUGUCUUCUGCUCAGGCUUGAGCCUAGUCUCCCUGGUCCUGUGGGAUGAUAUCCCAGCUCUGAGUGGGCUCAUGGGCUCCUAGCAUGUCAUCUUUGAUGACCUCCAGCCAGCCUUGCUCCUGGAGAGACAAAGUGUUGGCCAUUGGUCCUUGCUGGUCUUUGGAGCUCUCUGCAGCUCUUCCAAGGGGAGAAGGGGCCAUUCCUGCACCCUGCAAUGCCUAGGAAGAUCCAGGCACUACCAGUGACGUAUUCGGAAUUAACAGAAAAAGGGUAUGGACAAGGUGCAGUGGCAGAUGCAAAUUUCAGAGCAGGUACUCUAAGUCUGGUGGGCUGUCUGUGGCAUUCCCUGUACUUACAACCAGCAAGCAAGCCAGCAAGACUGUUUCAUGCAUGCAGUCAUAUGUCCUCCUCCACCAACUUCUACACUAGAGGCUUUAUUUCUGAGAGUUACCUGACUUCCACAACCAUAAUUUCUCCAUGCUGCGUUACUGCUGAGGCUUACUGCUUCAGAUUUCCUGGAGCUGGUAAUGGACAUAAGGACUAAGUGACUUCUCAGGGGUCAGGGGAAACCAAGCUGGAAACUGAACCCAGGCAUUCCCAGUUAAGGUUCUUACUGAGAAGAUUUUUUUUUUCUCACUCUCUCCACAUCACUCUCUGAAUUUGUUUUCCCUUGGCCAAGCAGUUAGUUAAUCCACAAGCCCUUUCUUCAGGCUGUCUUCACUCUAACACUGAAGUGUUUUUUAAUAGACAGGUGUUUUAAAAACACAAGUAACAGUGUUCCAUAUUUUCACCCAGAACAAAACUACUGAUCAGUGUCUCUUCAGCAAUUUCUUAGCUUCACUUUGAGCAAUGAUUGCAGGUCACCUUUCUCUCUAAAAAAUUUACAGACCCCUCAUGGAUAGACAGGACAGGGAGGGUUGUUCUUGUUUUAUGUUCUGGCAGAUGUAAGAAAGAGCAAAAAAAUUCCUUAAAAAUAUUUACCAG